rnacentral:rRNA from 1 species
UGCAGUCGAGCGGACAGAUGGGAGCUUGCUCCCUGAUGUUAGCGGCGGACGGGUGAGUAACACGUGGGUAACCUGCCUGUAAGACUGGGAUAACUCCGGGAAACCGGGGCUAAUACCGGAUGGUUGUUUGAACCGCAUGGUUCAAACAUAAAAGGUGGCUUCGGCUACCACUUACAGAUGGACCCGCGGCGCAUUAGCUAGUUGGUGAGGUAACGGCUCACCAAGGCAACGAUGCGUAGCCGACCUGAGAGGGUGAUCGGCCACACUGGGACUGAGACACGGCCCAGACUCCUACGGGAGGCAGCAGUAGGGAAUCUUCCGCAAUGGACGAAAGUCUGACGGAGCAACGCCGCGUGAGUGAUGAAGGUUUUCGGAUCGUAAAGCUCUGUUGUUAGGGAAGAACAAGUACCGUUCGAAUAGGGCGGUACCUUGACGGUACCUAACCAGAAAGCCACGGCUAACUACGUGCCAGCAGCCGCGGUAAUACGUAGGUGGCAAGCGUUGUCCGGAAUUAUUGGGCGUAAAGGGCUCGCAGGCGGUUUCUUAAGUCUGAUGUGAAAGCCCCCGGCUCAACCGGGGAGGGUCAUUGGAAACUGGGGAACUUGAGUGCAGAAGAGGAGAGUGGAAUUCCACGUGUAGCGGUGAAAUGCGUAGAGAUGUGGAGGAACACCAGUGGCGAAGGCGACUCUCUGGUCUGUAACUGACGCUGAGGAGCGAAAGCGUGGGGAGCGAACAGGAUUAGAUACCCUGGUAGUCCACGCCGUAAACGAUGAGUGCUAAGUGUUAGGGGGUUUCCGCCCCUUAGUGCUGCAGCUAACGCAUUAAGCACUCCGCCUGGGGAGUACGGUCGCAAGACUGAAACUCAAAGGAAUUGACGGGGGCCCGCACAAGCGGUGGAGCAUGUGGUUUAAUUCGAAGCAACGCGAAGAACCUUACCAGGUCUUGACAUCCUCUGACAAUCCUAGAGAUAGGACGUCCCCUUCGGGGGCAGAGUGACAGGUGGUGCAUGGUUGUCGUCAGCUCGUGUCGUGAGAUGUUGGGUUAAGUCCCGCAACGAGCGCAACCCUUGAUCUUAGUUGCCAGCAUUCAGUUGGGCACUCUAAGGUGACUGCCGGUGACAAACCGGAGGAAGGUGGGGAUGACGUCAAAUCAUCAUGCCCCUUAUGACCUGGGCUACACACGUGCUACAAUGGACAGAACAAAGGGCAGCGAAACCGCGAGGUUAAGCCAAUCCCACAAAUCUGUUCUCAGUUCGGAUCGCAGUCUGCAACUCGACUGCGUGAAGCUG